rnacentral:rRNA from 1 species
UACGUAGGGAUCAAGCGUUGUUCGGAUUUACUGGGCGUAAAGGGCGCGUAGGCGGCGUGACAAGUCACUUGUGAAAUCUCCGGGCUUAACUCGGAACGGUCAAGUGAUACUGUUGUGCUAGAGUACAGAAGGGGCAAUCGGAAUUCUUGGUGUAGCGGUGAAAUGCGUAGAUAUCAAGAGGAACACCAGAGGCGAAGGCGGAUUGCUGGGCUGAUACUGACGCUGAGGCGCGAAAGCUAGGGUAGCAAACGGG